UAGAGUUUGAUCCUGGCUCAGAUUGAACGCUGGCGGCAGGCCUAACACAUGCAAGUCGAGCGGAUGAAGGGAGCUUGCUCCUGAAUUCAGCGGCGGACGGGUGAGUAAUGCCUAGGAAUCUGCCUGGUAGUGGGGGACAACGUUUCGAAAGGAACGCUAAUACCGCAUACGUCCUACGGGAGAAAGCAGGGGACCUUCGGGCCUUGCGCUAUCAGAUGAGCCUAGGUCGGAUUAGCUAGUUGGUGAGGUAAUGGCUCACCAAGGCGACGAUCCGUAACUGGUCUGAGAGGAUGAUCAGUCACACUGGAACUGAGACACGGUCCAGACUCCUACGGGAGGCAGCAGUGGGGAAUAUUGGACAAUGGGCGAAAGCCUGAUCCAGCCAUGCCGCGUGUGUGAAGAAGGUCUUCGGAUUGUAAAGCACUUUAAGUUGGGAGGAAGGGUUGUAGAUUAAUACUCUGCAAUUUUGACGUUACCGACAGAAUAAGCACCGGCUAACUCUGUGCCAGCAGCCGCGGUAAUACAGAGGGUGCAAGCGUUAAUCGGAAUUACUGGGCGUAAAGCGCGCGUAGGUGGUUCGUUAAGUUGGAUGUGAAAUCCCCGGGCUCAACCUGGGAACUGCAUCCAAAACUGGCGAGCUAGAGUAUGGUAGAGGGUGGUGGAAUUUCCUGUGUAGCGGUGAAAUGCGUAGAUAUAGGAAGGAACACCAGUGGCGAAGGCGACCAUCUGGACUGAUACUGACACUGAGGUGCGAAAGCGUGGGGAGCAAACAGGAUUAGAUACCCUGGUAGUCCACGCCGUAACGAUGUCAACUAGCCGUUGGGAGCCUUGAGCUCUUAGUGGCGCAGCUAACGCAUUAAGUUGACCGCCUGGGGAGUACGGCCGC
rnacentral:rRNA from 1 species